AUAAAAAAAAAACCAUAGACGCCGACAAAGUGUGUUUUAAGGUUUAUUGUAUGGAUGUUAUUCAUCAACCUUAACAAACUACCGGUAUUUUCUGAAGUCACAGGUUCUGAGUUUACUGGAUUUUUCAGGUUUGGACUGCUUGCUGUCUCGUGUGUAAAAGAAGAUGACAACUAAUGGGGCCAACAUACAAGGCAACAGUACCAUAGUGAUUUAUGAUGAAUAUUCGUCAAAGAAUGGAAUGAACGUAUUCGUUAUACUGGUUACAGAGCUCAUAGUCGUCGUAUCCAUCUUCCUUAUACUUCUGAUACACUUUCUCAGGAAAAGAUAGCAGAACUACACGUGAACCGUUGAAAUCAGAGACAAAACAUGUAACAUCAGGGGACGCCACUCAAUGUUGGUGGAAUGCAAUUGACUUUAUAAAUAUUCUGUAGCAUUAUGAAUAAAUGAGCUAAAGAUAUUUAGACGUGUCUAUUGAUAUGAAAGGUACCCGAUGAUAUUUAUCAGUCAUAUCUACCUUGCUGGUCACCUGUUGUGAGAGGCCACAGUGAACAGAUGGUUUCAGUCUCACAAGACUACCUUGUACCGUUUAAUUCUUUGAAGAAACUGUUUAUGCCAGACCUUUGUGAAACAUGAAAUGACACAAUAAACACGAACGAAUGCA